rnacentral:tRNA from 2 species
CGGGGUGUGGCGCAGGGGAAGCGCGCCUGUUUUGGGAACAGGAGGUCGUGGGUUCAAAUCCCACCACCCCGACCA